UGAGGAAUAUUGGUCAAUGGGCGAAAGCCUGAACCAGCCAUCCCGCGUGAAGGAAGAAUGCGCUAUGCGUUGUAAACUUCUUUUUCAGGGGGAUAAAAUUCUGUAUGAAUACGGAACUGAAGGUACCCUGAGAAUAAGCAUCGGCUAACUCCGUGCCAGCAGCCGCGGUAAUACGGAGGAUGCGAGCGUUAUCCGGAUUUAUUGGGUUUAAAGGGUGCGUAGGCGGAAUAAUAAGUCAGUGGUGAAAACCUGCAGCUUAACUGUAGACUUGCCGUUGAUACUGUUUUUCUUGAGUAUGGUCAAGGCAGGCGGAAUGUGUAAUGUAGCGGUGAAAUGCUUAGAUAUUACACAGAACACCGAUAGCGAAGGCAGCUUGCUGGGCCGUUACUGACGCUGAUGCACGAAAGCGUGGGGAUCGAACA
rnacentral:rRNA from 1 species